rnacentral:tRNA from 1 species
UUCUUUUCCACGGGCA